GUUGUGUCUGAGAUAGACUGCAUUGCAUCAGUGCAGUGUCAGAUGACCAAGAGCACAGCAUUUACCAUUCAUGCUUGGUGGUUUUGGCCUGGAGAAUAGAGAUUCAAUAACAGAGGGUUCUUCGAUCUCAUAAAGAAACGUGCGACGUUCUGAACGUUCCACACUGAAACUAAACACAUUCAGACGAAAACAAGGUUACAUAAAGACUGUUUGACUGGAAACAUUUGGAUAAUCUCCCAGUGACUGAAAGUUGCCGCCGGGACAGUAUUUUGCCUUCAACUUCAAUGCCUGAGCUUAUACACUUCAGCAGAAGUUUCAAAUGUUACAGCAAAAUGUGCCGUAACUGCAUCAGUAGUCAAGGGAAGAGCCACCGAUGUCAUCUAUCUGGACUUCAGUAAGACCUUUGACACAGUCCCCCAUAACAUCCUUCUCUCCAAAUUGGAAGGAUAUGGAUUCGACAAGUGGACUGUUCAGUGGAUGAAAAACUGGUUACAAGAUUGUACCCAGAGAGUUGUGUUCAGUGGCUCGAUGUCUGGAUGGAGACCAGUGGCAAGUGGUGUCCCUCAGGAGUCAGUACUGGGACUAGUGCUCUUUAACAUCUUCAUCAAUGGCAUCAACAGUGGGAUCGAGUGUACUCUCAGCAAGGCUAUAGAUGAUACCAAGCUGUGUGAUGCAGUUGACACAUUCAAGGAACAGGAUGCCAGCCGGAGAAACCUAUGUAAGACCAAGCAGUGGGCCCAGGUGAACCUCAUGAGGUUCAAUAAAUUGAAGUGCAAGGUCUUGCACCUGCAUUAUGGCAAAUCCUACUAUGGGAACAAGCUGGGGGAUAUAAGGAUGGUGCACAACUCUGCCAAAAAGGACUUGAGGUGGAUGGCAAGCUGGACAUAAGCCAGCAAUGUACCCUUGCAGCGCAGAAAGCCAACCAUAUCCUGAGCUGCAUGUACAAUAAACAAAUGUACAGUUGGAAGAAUAGCACAGUUAGGAUGGUACUCCACAGGUGUAUAGUUGGAAAGAUUAUCAUGGUGGAAAAGAGACAGUCAAAGAAGAAAUGCUCACCCAUAUCCAAGAAUCCAGGCUCACAGUGGAAAACUCCAAAAAGGAGAGAUCUCCAGAAAGAGAUCCUUCCCCAGUGGAAGUCAGCCCUUAAAUUGGGUCUAGGAGAGGUGGAGCCAGGCUCCACCCCUUCCAGUCACUCAGGUGAAUUGCCUUCACUUGUGCUCCCACAGCUGACUCAGUCCUUUCCUCAGGUGCUCAAUCAGUGUUUCAGGCCGAACAGUUCCCAUCCACUCCACCCCUUCAUAGCAUGAACCAAUAAUCGAGCAAGCUAGAGGGUGAGCCUUCCCUAAUAGAGAUCCAGAGACACCACGAUGCUUAUACAAUUGCCUGUCGCCAUGCAGGUUGACACAAUUUAAGACGACUGAUGAUCAAUGUGUGGUUGAGGUUCAUGUUCUUUCAUGGGCCAGUGCUCAGUGGUGUUACUGGAAGUAUGCCAUCAUGUCGUGUAGGUCCAUCCUAUGUCACAUCAGUCCCACAUAGGCCAUCACCGGGUGUCGUGCUUGAUCUCACAGCAGCACUGGAACACUUCAAUGGUAUUUCGCUCCUUCUGUGAUCCUAGAGAUUCAAAUACUCACAGAGAGUAAUACAGAUGUUUCAGGGGUACCAGGAGGGGAAGAUCUGCCCUCCAGGGCAAGAUACAGGCCAUAUUCCUAUCCUGGGUCAACACUUCAGCUUGUACUGGGGCAUGCCCCAGCCGCCUCUACCAAACUCUUCGGCCAGAUGUCUGCAGCUGCAUAACUGUAUCAAAGGGGGUGUCCUGAUCUGACAUAGGGACAUGAUGGGGGGGUCCCUUUAGCAACGAAGAUUGGAGUGUUGACCACAAUAUCCAUAGGCCAUGUACCCAUUACCAGAGGGACUACCGAGCUUCCCACCUCCAGUAAUCUCCUCCAGGGUAGGAGGAGAUUGUGCAAGAAGGGCACACCACUUCGGUCCUACCUGUACCUACCAAGGCCAUUUUACUCUAUGGGUACCUGGUUGUAAAUUCUCAGGGGUAGGGACCAGAAGGUUAUUUUCAUUGCCAAUCUGGGGUUUUACCCAAUUAUCAGUGCCUGUAAUUUGGAUCCUAAGCGGGGAGGCCCAUGUUGUCUGUAGCAUUUUCAGGGCACUGGGUCUGCCAUCUUUAGGUCUUUCGUUCAGGUCCCACAGGGUUUCAUAGAGUCCCUUUGUCCACCCGUGCAGGGACUGUGAAUCUCUCUUCAGGGCAGCCUUAUGAAUACCGUUACGAUGUUCAAUGAGUCCUGCCCUCGUUGGAUUAUAUGGCAGGUGGAAUCACCAUCCAGUGUUGUUUUCUUCUGCCCAGUGUUGUAUCACGGUACCAGUAAAAUGAGUUCCUUGGUCACUCUCGAUGACUUGAGGUGUCCUGGAGGCAGACAGGAGCUCAGUAAGUGCUUGAUGGUAUAUGCCUGGUUUGCUCUUGGCACUGGAUAGGCCUGCAGUAGCCCACUUGCGGUAUCGAUGCAGGUCAGGGCAUAUCUCACCCCCUCAUACUGAGGGAGGGGCCCAAUAUAAUUGACCUGUCAUCGCUGGAGAGGAUUGUGUCCUCUAGCAAGAUGGGCUGUUGUUGCGGGCAGCAAUCUCAGUCUCAUCUUGGAGCAAGCGUCACAGUCUCAGCAUGCCUGGGUGAUGUCAGAUAGUUGCAUGGGCAACUCCCAUGCUUUAGCAGCUGCCCAUAUUGUCUUUUGUCCAGCAUGCCAUAGCUUCUGAUGUAAUCAAUGGGUGAUGUUCUCAGAUGGUGAAUCCUCAGUCCAUCAAACUUGGGUUGGUGUGUCCGCUUCGUCAUUUCCUGGUGAUUGUAAAGGUUGAUGACCAGAAACAUGUUAGACACAUACAGUCCUGUGUUUAACUGCAUUCCAUAUGUCUAACCACAUAUCUCUGCCCAAGAUUGGUCGGGCAUGGAUAGUCCAUUCUUGGGUGGCCCACUGUGCAAUCCAAAGAGUGAGCCCCCAGUACACGGCCCAACUAUCUGUGCAGAUAUUCAGGACACUAUCACCAGAUUCCUUAGUUAUAACCAUCCACACGGCUUGCAGUUAUGCCCAUUGGCUGCUCUGACCAUCCGUCUCUUCAAACCAGACUGUCUCAGUGGAGGGAUGGUAUGCUACUGCUCUCCACUAACUCAGGUUGCUCUUGCUGGACCCAUCUGUGUGCCAUGCAUCCUCAGGAAUGGGAUAUUUCCCCUCCUGAAUGGGACUCUUCUCUGGUGGAGCAACCAAUGUGUCUUUUGGUGCCUCACUGUGAUAUGUCACUGGGCCUACAAUCUUCUGGAGUUCUUUCAGUGGUGAUGAAGAUAGACUAUUCCUCUGGCUAAGAUAGGCGACCCAUCACACCACCAUUUAUGCUUGGCCACCCUCGUCUUAGGAAUGUGAGUCAGAUCUUUCAUCCACCCCUGAAUUGGCAGGGUGUUCUUAACUAUGGAUUUGUCAAUAAUCCUCACCCCAAGUUUUGGGGGAUGAUUAUGAAAUUUUUGAUCGUCCUUCAACUGCCUCCAUAGCUGGAGGAGGACAUGAUUGGGCUGGUGAUCAAUUUUCGCAAAUUGAACCCCAGCCCGGAUUAAGCCAUUAAACAUUUGUUAUCAGGAUACCCGUAUGGGUCCUGAUUGAGGAGUUCGUAGGGUGGGUCUCCUGGUUUUAGUUACUAGAAGGACCUCUGCCCCUUCCAAUGUUCAGAUACUGCACCUGGUCCAAAGGCGCUCUGUCUCCCCUAGAUCAGCUACCAGCUGGGCAGCCUGUUGAACCACGGACUCUGAGGCUACUAGGGAGUUUAGUAUGGAAACUAGAGUUCCAUACAGAUGGGAAGGAGCCUGUUGCAGGAUCAGGUCUCUCAUGCCUAUUGAGAAUUUUACCAGGUGUGGGCUUUGAAAUGCGUCUUUGUAUAUCACCUCUCUUAUACUCAGUUCGUGAAUAUAGUUUUGAAGGUCUUCUGUGAAGGACCAUAAACCUGUGUGUAAUAGUAUGUCAGAUUUAUUGGCCAAACCAUAUGGCAUGCUGCCAUCAACCAAUCUAUUAUCGAGUGAUUCUUGUUGGUAUACUGGACAGCAGCAUAUAGCCCCUAAGGGCAGGGUGAACAGUAAUAGAUGCCAAUUUACAGAUUUCUGACCCACUGACCGUAACACUUUCCAUCCAUGAAUCCCAUCAUCGGAGAAGCCAGGCUGGUACGCUUUCUCUGGGCUUCUGUCUGAAUCACUGUACCAAGUCCAUUAAUUCCAUGGCCAUAUAAGGACAGGCUAUUACAUGUAAAUGGAUUUGGGCAGGGGGCCACUGAUCAGGGGGCACCCCUGGUGAUCUAUCUUGUAUUUUGUUGUUGUUGUUUUUUGAGUUACUAUAGGACAGAUCUCAAAGGAAUCCAUCGCAGAUAGAGCUUUGAGAUCUGAUUUGGAAGCUUUGUCUUCUGGAUCCACUAGGUUGAUCAAUUCAGGAACCUGCGUAUCAUCUACUGAAAUGUUAUGGACCUGUUUUAUUGGGAAAUUUAGGCUUGAUUUUUUCCCCUGUCAGUAUACCAAGUUGUUGUUCAAGUUUCUCAAUCCGAUCUCAUAACAGUAGAUUUUCACUUUCUAAAGUAUUGGUUGUCAUUUCAGCCUGAUUUAAAGCAAUUAAUAGUGGCCAUGCCACAGUAGAAGCAGCUAGCUGAUGUUCUUUUGUAACUAAUAUCCCUUCGCUCAAUCCAUGAGAAUAAUCUGCCAUGUGGGUUGGGGAAGGAGUAUUUCUUGUAACCUGCAGGGGACUCCAUUUUUCAAUUAUAGUCACCAGUUCAUAGUAAGGUGAUCCCAGAAAUCCUCAGAUCUGUCUGGGAAUUGUUUUGUCUAGGAGGAAGUAAUGUUCUUCCCCGCUGAACAAUUUAAAGAUAUUCUAAAGGAAAUACUUUUUUGUUUUUUUGGCCUUCCUGGCUCACCAACUGUGUAUUUGGAAGAGUAGUGCAGUAAGGAUGGUACUUUACAGGUGUUACAGUUGGAAAAAGUAUCAUGGUAGAAAAGAGACAAUCAAAGAAGAAAUGCUCACCUGUAUCCAAGGAUCUAGGCUCACAAUAAAAAACUCCAAAUGGAGCAAUCUCCAGAAAGAGAUCCUUCCCCCAGUCAGCCCUUAAGUGGGGUCUAGGAGAGGUGGAGCCAGGCUCCACCCCUACUGGUCACACAGCUGAAUUGCCUUCACCUGUGCUCCCGCAGCUGACUCAGUCCUUUCCUCAGGUGAAAAAUCAGAGGUUCAGGAUGUGAUUCAAUUGUUCCCAUACAGUUGCAUCAAAGGAAACAUGAUCAGCAGGUUGAGGGAGGUGAUCCUGCUCCUCUACUCUGUGCUGGUGAGGCCUCUGUAUUAUGUCCAGAUGUGGGAUCCUCAGGACAGACAUAGACCUGAGGAAGUGCAUCCAGAGGAGGGCCAAAAAAAAUGAUCCAAGCAAUGAAACACCUUCCCUGUGAGAAUGGGCUGAGAGAGCUGGGGCUGUUCAGCCUGGAGAAGAGAAGGCUCUGAGGAGACUUGAUAAUGGCCUUUCAAUAUCUAAAAAGGGGCUAUAAGAAAGAAAAGGGCAGACUCUUUAGCAGGGUUUGUCGCGACAGGACAAAGGAAAAUGGUUUUAAAAUAAAGGAGAGAAAAUUUAGAUUGGAUAUAAGGAAAAAAUUUUUACAAUAAGAAUGUUGAGGCAUUGGAACAGAUCACUCAGAGAGGUGGUAGAAGUCCUGUUCCUGGAGACAUUCAAAAUCAGGCUGGACCAGGCUCUGAGAAACCUGAUCUAGCUGUGGGUGUCCCUGUUCAUUGCAGGGAAGCUGGACUAGAUAUAGAAUGAUAUAAUCAAAAGAUUAUAUGAUUCUAUAAGUCAAUGAAGAUAAGGAGGGAUUUGUAAAGUAAGUUUCAAAAAAAUCACAGUGUUUUGUAGAAUCAUGGUAGUUAAUAGUGUGAGGCAUUUAGAGAACUAUGGUUGCGAGCAUCUCAGAAAUACAAAAUAGCAUUCCAUAGGAAAUGCAGGGAAAAAGAAUGAAAAUUUGAAGCUAGCUCCACCCUGCAACAAUUUAAAACAUAGUUGAAUAUUUAAAAAAAAAGUUUAGGCCUAGACUGUUAUUUCUGUUAUAAAAGUCAAAUCUUUGGAGAUGGAGAUGAUUAAUAAAUAUACAAAAAUACAUCAUGUCUUUAAUAGCAAAAUGCAAUACAUUCUGUU
ensembl:lncRNA